GAUGAACGCUGGCGGCGUGCCUAAUACAUGCAAGUCGAGCGAACGGACGAGAAGCUUGCUUUUCUGAUGUUAGCGGCGGACGGGUGAGUAACACGUGGAUAACCUACCUAUAAGACUGGGAUAACUUCGGGAAACCGGAGCUAAUACCGGAUAAUAUUUUGAACCGCAUGGUUCAAAAGUGAAAGACGGUCUUGCUGUCACUUAUAGAUGGAUCCGCGCUGCAUUAGCUAGUUGGUAAGGUAACGGCUUACCAAGGCAACGAUGCAUAGCCGACCUGAGAGGGUGAUCGGCCACACUGGAACUGAGACACGGUCCAGACUCCUACGGGAGGCAGCAGUAGGGAAUCUUCCGCAAUGGGCGAAAGCCUGACGGAGCAACGCCGCGUGAGUGAUGAAGGUCUUCGGAUCGUAAAACUCUGUUAUUAGGGAAGAACAUAUGUGUAAGUAACUGUGCACAUCUUGACGGUACUUAAUCAGAAAGCCACGGCUAACUACGUG
rnacentral:rRNA from 1 species